CCCUCCCCAUCCCCACUCAUGCUUUCUAAAAUAGAAAUUAAAAAAAUAAAGAAAAGUUUAUAAUGAUAUAAAGAUGUGAAAUAUGCUCAUCAAAAUCUGUUAGGUGAAAAAUGACUAAAAUAAAAAAUUGUAUGUGGUUAUUAUUACAGUUAAGUAAAGAGAGUAACAAAUUGUCUAUGCAAAAAACAAAACAAAACAAAAACAUGCUGAGUCUUUUAUUGGACAAGUAGCUUUAAAAUGAUACUAACCAGAAAACAACCAUCACCAGUUCAGCCCUAGGUCAGCAAUUUUAAAACUUUCAUCAUCUUUAUACCACAGACACACAUCACCUUAGGAGGAAAAAAAGGCGAUUUGUGAAGCUAUCAUUCUAAUCUAUAAAAUCAAAGAUUUCGUCAAAUGAUAGCUAAGGUCCUUCUAACUCUAAAGUGGUUUUUUCCACAGGAUUCAAAAUAAAAUAAAACUUGCAAGAAAUUCUAAUGCAUUAGUGACUGGGAUGAGAAGACAAUGUACAGGCCAUGUUGGAUUUCUGAAACUAUUUUGGAAACGUGGUUAUUUUUUUAUUUUAAAACUUCUCACUGGUAUUUCCAUAGUACAAAUCUAGUACUUUCCUGGUUAUUUUCACAAUAUUUGUAACAUCUCAUUUAUAUCCUGAAUUGAAAAAUAAGUGUAUCUUCAUACCAUGUCAAAUAUUUUCUCAUGCAUAUCAUGUGUUUUUGAGACUGGCUUUAGCAAGUUCCAAGCUAGGCCUGGAUAAGAGUUAACUACCUUUGGAAACAAAGUUUAUCAGACCUUAUGACACAAUUUUAAUGAGGUAAAGGUUACUAAAUGUUACCUUUAAAAAUGUCUAUGAAUUGAAAACAUUUAUCUUAAAGGCACAAUAUGUCCCUGUCAAACUUUUACAGCAAAAUAUUUUAAUGUGUCUUUCAAAAAAUAAAAGAUAAAAGAGUGUGGAAGUUGAAUAGAAAGUACUGAAAAUGACAGAGAGCAAGCUAAUGGUUCUUGUUUUGAUGUGAAUUUGCAACAGUAAUUUUCUUUCCUUUUGAAAAACCUAGAACUAAUCAGGGAGGUCUAACAGAAGGGGGAAAAAAGCAUGACACAUUGCUAAUUCCCUUAGUCUUCACAAACACACAUGCAUGUACACCAAAGUAGAUAGACUUAAAACAUAUAAAACCAUUUAGAAAUGAGACUAUGGUAGAAUUAGAUGAUACGGGGUUCAGGGACGGUAAAAAGGGAGUCACGAAGCUUAAUGGCUUUUGAUCUAUAUUGUUACUUGUUAUAUAUUUUUUUUCUUGUCUUAUUCAUUCACCCCAUUACCCUGCACCUCAAAAUUUAGAAAUGCAGCACUCUCCAGAUAUUUCAGAUGUCCUUCUAGAAUUUAGAAUUUUGCGGUGGCUAAAAUUAGGCUAUCUCUUAUGUCUUUUUCAAAAAAAAUUUUUCUUUUAUACAUGUAGUGUUAAAUUUGGAGAUAUUUUUCAACAUGGCUUCAAAAGUAAGGUAAGUAAGUUGCUUUUACUAUCAGCAUCAUAUACACUACAGAAAGAAACAUCAAUGUGCUGGUUAACAGUGGAUUGGAACCAAUCUUCGAUAAUGAAACUAGGCAAGAAAUAGGAAAGGCAAUGGACAAAGUACAUGAUGAUUUGAUCUGUGUGAAAUCCUGCCAACAGAUUAUAUGUUUAUUAUUGAUUAUAUUUCUUGGAGUGUCUGGGUCAAAGUCUUGUAAAACUUUCAAGAAAAUUAUAUUUGAAAGGAUUUUAUAUUGCCAAUGAAAGCUUUUUUUAGAAUAUCAGGCCAAUAUUAGUGACUGCUGUCUAUUUCCUCACGACGACCAAUCACUUCUUCCUCUUCUAAUAUAUAUUCCACAGGAUUAAAAUUUAAUGUUUCACCUCUGAAGAGCCAUCUCCUGCACUGAAUCUUCAUUCACAGCAAAGCCAAUCAGAUCACCAUAUGUCUGUUUUUACACUGCUUAUUCACCUUUUACCUAGACUGAAAGUCUUUGAAAAUAGAACCUACUUCCCAGGGUUAAUACUAAAAACACAGUUCAAUGCACCAAGAAUGCUCUAGGCACUGGGGAAACCAGACUUCACAUCAGCCUGGGUAUCGUUGAGAGUUACCAGCAUCCUCACCGUUUUAGAGCCAAAGGGAAACAGAAUCAGUGUCAUCAUUCAAGCACGCCCAGAGCUGUGAACGAAUAACAUCAUCCACGUUUUCUCAGAGUGGGAGGCGACAAACCGCUUGGUGUUUUCUGUGGCCCUCAUACCUGCCUCUGCGGAGUCCACUGAGGCACCCCCUGUCGCUGGCUCGGAGGAGGAGGAAGGUGUGUGUGUAUCUCAGUGGUUGUGUGCAGUGUUCAGCAGGCUGUAACAUGGAUCGGAUGCCCUAUGUUAAGCACGUGAACAAGAGCCAAGCCUCCAGUCUCGCACAAUCAAGUAACAGAAAAUACCAUCUCCAAGAAGGCGUUUCCUAUUGUCUAAACCCAGUCCACUUUGGUAACAUUAUGUUUACCUUUUCAUUGUAGGCUCAUUUGAUUGGCCAGCCAGUCUUAAGAAAGAGCUCACAAGUUUAUUGACAGAGGAUCUCCUGGAGAUGCCUCAUUAAGGCCAUUAACAUAAUGAAACCGUGAAAUUUUAGGGACGAAAAACAUUCUGAAAAUUCAAAUCAUCCUAACAAAAAUAAAACAAACAUCACUUGUGAUUGUGCGUGUCAAUUAUGUAUGCAGACUUUUCAAUAAAAUACAAUCAGUUCCAUAUAUAUUAUAAUGAGCCAAAAAUCAUUCAUUCAACAGAGACGUACUGCGCAUUUACCCUUAGCCUCGCACUAUGACAUACACGGGGGCUACAAGAAGGAACAAGACAAAUACAGCCCCGGCUUUGGACGAGUUUAUGAACGAUAAGGAAAAAGAAAAGCAGACGGCAGUGAGAAAAGAAAAUGAUAGGGCAAUGUGACACGAAGGAAGGACACCCCACCUUCAGAAGGGCAAGAGUGACAGGAAAUGCCUUGUGAUAUCAGGAGGGGGUCAGGCAACACACACCGAUGAGAACUCCUGGAAGAAACUGGAACUUGAGGAGAACCAAGGUUUAUCUGGGAG